rnacentral:rRNA from 1 species
GGGGGAUGAAUUAAUAAAUAAAUAAAUAAUAAAAAAAUUUUUGUUAAUAAUAUAGGGGGUUAAAGUAUUUUAAUAAAAAUAAUUUUUAGAAAUUUAUAGUUAAGUAGUAUUGGGGGAGAAUUUUGAAAUAAGAUUGAAAAUAAAUUUAUUGGGGGGUAAAUUUAAUUUAUUGUAUCUUGUGUAUCAGAGUUUAUUAAUAAUUUUUUUUUGUUUAAUAUUUCUCGAAUUUUAAAGAUCUAAUUAAUUAAAAAAGUUAUUGUUAAAUAAAUAUUUUAAAUAAUUAAUUAGAAAUGAAAUGUUAUUCGUUUUAAAAAAUAUCUAGUUUUUUUAGAAAAAAAUUAAAUUUUUAAUUUAAAUUUUAAAAUUAAUUUUAUAUUAUUAAAAAAUUUUAAAUUAAAUAUUUUAAGGGAUAAGCUUUAAAUUAAAUUAUUAUAAAUAAAUAAGAAUAUUUAUGAAAAUUUUAAAAUUUAUAUUGUUUAAAAAUUAUAAUUUUUUAUAAAUAAAUUUUUUAUCUUUUAAGAUUUUAUUUAUUUUAAUUUUUUAUAAAAAAAAAAUUUUUAAUUAAAAAAAAUUUAAUAUAAUGAUAAAAUUAGUAUAUAAAAUAAUUUUUAAAAAAUAUUUAUGUAAAAUUAAAUAAUUUAAAGGAAUUCGGCAAAAUUUUAUAUUCACCUGUUUAACAAAAACAUGUCUUUUUGAAAAUAAUUUAAGGUUUAUUCUGCCCACUGAUUUAUAUUAAAGGGCUGCAGUAUUUUAACUGUACAAAGGUAGCAUAAUCAUUAGUUUUUUAAUUGGAAACUUGCAUGAAAGAUUGGAUGAGAUAUAAGCUGUCUUUAAGUUAAAAAUAAAAUUUAAUUUUUCAAUUAAAAAGUUGAAAUAAAUUUAAAAGACGAGAAGACCCUAUAGAGUUUAAUAAUAAUUUAAAUUAAAAUAUUUAUAUUAAAAAAUAAAAUUAAAUUUAAUUUAUUAAUUUAUUGGGGUGAUAGAGAAAUUUAAUUAACUUUUUUUAUAAUUUAACAUGAAUAGGUGAAUGAAUGAUCCAUUAUUUAUGAUUAAAAGAAAAAAUUACCUUAGGGAUAACAGCGUAAUUUUUUUUUUUAGUUCAAAUAAAAAAAAAAGUUUGCGACCUCGAUGUUGGAUUAAGAUAAAAUUUAAAUGUAAAAGUUUAAUAUUUUUGAUCUGUUCGAUCAUUAAAAUCUUACAUGAUCUGAGUUCAAACCGGUGUAAGCCAGGUUGGUUUCUAUCUUUAAAUAUUUAUAAUAUUUUAGUACGAAAGGAUCAAAUAUUAAAAAUAUUUUUAUUAAAAUGAAUAUUAAUAAAUAUUAUAUAUAUAUAUAUAUAUAUAUAUAUAUAUAAAUUAUAAAAAA